rnacentral:rRNA from 1 species
GAUGAACGCUGGCGGCGUGCCUAAUACAUGCAAGUCGAGCGAACAGAUGAGGAGCCUGCUCCUCUGACGUUAGCGGCGGACGGGUGAGUAACACGUGGAUAACCUACCUAUAAGACUGGGAUAACUUCGGGAAACCGGAGCUAAUACCGGAUAAUAUAUUGAACCGCAUGGUUCAAUAGUGAAAGACGGUUUUGCUGUCACUUAUAGAUGGAUCCGCGCCGCAUUAGCUAGUUGGUAAGGUAACGGCUUACCAAGGCAACGAUGCGUAGCCGACCUGAGAGGGUGAUCGGCCACACGGGAACUGAGACCCGGUCCAGACUCCUACGGGAGGCAGCAGUAGGGAAUCUUCCGCAAUGGGCGAAAGCCUGACGGAGCAACGCCGCGUGAGUGAUGAAGGUCUUCGGAUCGUAAAACUCUGUUAUUAGGGAAGAACAAAUGUGUAAGUAACUAUGCACGUCUUGACGGUACCUAAUCAGAAAGCCACGGCUAACUACGUG